rnacentral:rRNA from 1 species
CACGGGGGGAGCAAGCGUUGUUCGGAAUCACUGGGCGUAAAGUGCGUGUAGGCGGUCAAGUAAGUGGGAUGUAAAAUCCCUCGGCUCACCCGAGGACCUGCAUCCCAAACUGCUUGGCUUGAGUAUGGGAGAGGAUGAGGGAAUUCCUGGUGUAGCGGUGAAAUGCGUAGAUAUCAGGAGGAACACCGGUGGCGAAAGCGCUCAUCUGGCCCGAUACUGACGCUGAAGCACGAAAGCUAGGGGAGCAAACGGG